rnacentral:rRNA from 1 species
CCUACGGGAGGCUGCAGUGGGGAAUAUUGGGCAAUGGGCGCAAGCCUGACCCAGCAACGCCGCGUGAAGGAAGAAGGCUUUCGGGUUGUAAACUUCUUUUGACAGGGAAGAGCAGAAGACGGUACCUGUCGAAUAAGCCACGGCUAACUACGUGCCAGCAGCCGCGGUAAUACGGAGGUGGCAAGCGUUGUCCGGAUUUACUGGGUGGAAAGGGCGUGUAGCCGGGCGGUCAAGUCAGAUGUGAAAUCCGGGGGCUCAACCCCCGAACUGCAUUUGAAACUGUUUGUCUUGAGUAUCGGAGAGGCAGGCGGAAUUCCUAGUGUAGCGGUGAAAUGCGUAGAUAUUAGGAGGAACACCGGUGGCGAAGGCGGCCUGCUGGACGACAACUGACGGUGAGGCGCGAAAGCGUGGGGAGCAAACAGGAUUAGAUACCCGAGUAGUC